rnacentral:pre_miRNA from 1 species
UUACCGGCGGUCUCUAAUUCGCUUGGUGCAGGUCGGGAACCGGUUCGCCGGGAGGGCGGCAGGAACCUCUCCGCCGGCGUCCGCGCCGAUCGAGGGGGCGGAUUCGAUUCCCGCCUUGCAUCAACUGAAUCGGAGACCGCGGUGAAG